CCUACGGGAGGCAGCAGUGGGGAAUCUUGCACAAUGGGGGAAACCCUGAUGCAGCGACGCCGCGUGAGCGAUGAAGCCCCUCGGGGUGUAAAGCUCUUUCGGCAGGGACGAUAAUGACGGUACCUGCAGAAGAAGCUGCGGCUAACUACGUGCCAGCAGCCGCGGUAAUACGUAGGCAGCAAGCGUUGUUCGGAAUUACUGGGCGUAAAGCGUGCGUAGGCGGUUGGCCAAGUUUGGUGUGAAAUCUCCCGGCUCAACUGGGAGUGUGCGCCGAAAACUGGCCGGCUAGAGUGCGGGAGAGGGAAGUGGAAUUCCUGGUGUAGCGGUGCAAUGCGUAGAUAUCAGGAGGACCACCUGUGGUGUAGACGGCUUCCGGGACCGUGACUGACGCUGAGGCACGAAAGCGUGGGGAGCAAACAGGAUUAGAUACCCGGGUAGU
rnacentral:rRNA from 1 species